ensembl:lncRNA
GGAAGAAGGAAGCAAGCAAGAAAGUGAGAGGAAAAAAGAAAGGAAAAAUAAAAAGGCAAAGGAAGAGAAAAAAAAGAAAAGGAAGAAAAAAUGAAAAGGAAAAGAAAAUGAGGAAGAGGAAGGAAAGGAGGAAGGAAGGAAAAGAAACCACACACCCUUCCGUUAUUUCACAUGGCACGGGCUGCUUUUGCUCUGUAACUAGGCCGUAUGAAGAGACCUGAACCGCUUCUUCUCUAAGACCACGUUGUAAAUGCUGAUUAACUUUGUUAUUGAAAGAAGGAUAUUACGGACACAGGAUGAGGGUGAGAAUAGAAGGGGAAGGCAGUUUCCUUUAUUAGGACAUAUCAAGAUGAGCUUUGGGGGGACACGGAGGAAAAAAAGAUCAUUUACUUUCUUUUCAAAGACUGUUGGUAAAAUUCCUAAGGGAGACCAAGUGCCAAAAUUAACUGUCUUGGCGUAUUACUUUUAGACACUGCUGCCCGGGUGAAUUAAGUCAAGGCUUCAAGCAGCAGCCAAAGAUAGCUGCAAGCUGAAAAGAGGCGAUGCAUUUCCUUGUUUUGUGGUGAAACUCACAAAUUUGUGGAGAUUGCCUUUGCUCCAGGGGUUUUUCUUCUCUGUCUCUCUCCCCUUCUGGGCUAUUUUUACUGUUUUAUAUUUGGCAUUAUAAAUGUGCUUUGCAAUGGGAAGGUAAGGUAAAAAACAAGCGAUUGUUAAGAAAAAUAAGAGAAGUUAAAAAAAUGUACGUGCUCCCACAUGUACUGAGUCUCUGUGUAUGUACACAUACAUGUCAGAGCACCCAGACAUUCGUGUCCUGUAAGACAUUUCUCAUUACCUUGUACUCCAAAAGGCAUUAUUUAGUAAAAGAUAAUAAACAGCACUCGAACAGUGGGAUAUAGACUAGUGAAAACAGUUUACUGAAAUUAAUGAUGCUGGAUUGAACCAAACCUUCCCUUUGGAAUUAGUGCCAGACAUAGUUUUCCUGAACCCUGUCCAACUGCCUGAGCGACAGACAAUUUUCAUUCUAUUUGUGCUAAAGGCUUAUGACUAGUGCUGGAAAAUGAAGCCCUUGCCCUUGAUCUCAGUGCAGAUUAAAAAAAAAAAAAGAAAGAAAAAGCAGAACCGUGCCAAUUUGUUUCCUCUGCCAACAGAAGCCCUUGUGCUUUGGGUAAUGCAAAACAAUACAAAGUUCACAUGCAAACUCUCCAUUGAAAGGAAACCCACCAAGAGCCAUCUACUUCUGCUACAUUCAUCAGCCAGUUUCCGAGAUUCUCACAAUGUCAGCAAAAUGCAGAGGCUAAGGGCAGAAAAUAUUUACCAGCCAGCAACACCGCCUUCUUUUUCUAUUCCGUGCCUCAUUGCUAUGCAUCUGAUGACGAUCGGUACAAAAUGCCCCACUGUACAUCAGCACGCUCCUCCUCCUGCUCCCGCUGAUUGUGCCCAGCACUCAGGUACUGCACGCAAAUCUGCUGUCAGAGCUAAUUCUGUUUUUGAAGGAUGAAAUACACAUUUGACACGCGCACAGAGUUACACACAGUGGCUAUACUGUACUGCUGUCAGCCAGCUAAUCGCCGAUCACUUUUUCCUAGAUUAUUAAUAAAAUCAGAACCUCGAGCAGAAGGCGUUUGCUUUCAUUGUACAGUCUGCACUUGUGACACAGUACAUGUGGAAAAUUUUGAGUGCACUGCAGUGAAUGGUCUGGGGGUUAGUUUUAGCUUCCGCUAAGUACCUGGCAGGCUGCCACAGCUGAAGGAUUCUGGGAACAGAAAGGCUCCCAAGUACAAACUGCCAGCAUUAAGCAGUCCUGACAGCUCUGCUCCUUCCACACUUGGCAGCAGUUCAAAGUGCUCUUUCAUUUGAAAGGCUGGAAGGCUGCCAUGUGCAUUUGUGCAUUGCAGAUUUGCUGUGCCUGCUCUCAUAAGGAACUGAUAAAUGCCGUUGCUGUUGCCAUGGGGACAGGAGGCUAUCAGAAUGGCCCUGUGAUCUGCAGCCUCUCAGCUCUGCCUCUGCAGGGCUUUUUUUUUUUUUUUUUCUUUUUCCUUUUUCUUUCUUUUUUUUUUUUUUUUUCCUUUUUCCCUGAGAUGGUGAAAUAAAUGUUCUAGAAAAGGUUAACUCUUGAAGGACAGGAAGCGGUGCUUCGAAAGGACAGAGUGAGCCUCCUCCAAGGUGCUGGGAACAAGAUGAACACAUACCUGCCAACUGUCCCUGUGUGGGAAGCACUGCCCUUGGGGAUGUGUAAGGCCGGGAGGGAGGAGGAGGAGAGACCUUCUCCCCACUCAGUCUCUUCAGAAUUCCCUCCAGUUCAGGAUCUCCCAGCAUAAUUAAAGGGCCGUCCCCUUUCUUCCCCUCGGCAUCACCACAUACAGUUCUCAGAUGUUCGUGGAAAUGAAUUAAUUCACCACUGAACUUGUAACAUGCCUGGUGCCUUUAGUGCUCAUUACCAUCACAGGACAGCUAGCGGGAUUAGAUCCAUUAUGCGGACUCCAUGUGUGGUUAAUGUGAGUAAAAAGAAUGAGCAGUGUGAUAUAAAACUGCAUGUUUAAAAGAUCUUAGUGACAAUGCACGUUCUGGGAGUGAAUCUUGGCUUGUUCUAGUUCCCAAGAUUAAAAUAAACACACCCUUGAGCUAUGCACAGCCUGAUUGUGCAUAGAAAUGAGUGUGCAUAUCUCCUUCUAAACAAGUACAGAUAAAAACAGAGGUGGCAAAUAUUUCAGCCGGAAUUUAUACCCGUUUUCCUCCGUCUACUUCUUUACACGUUACUUCUUUCUGUCUCUGCACGGUGAUAAAUGUGGGUUCCCUGAAGCCCUCUGCUGCAGUUGAGUAAACUGCGCUCUGUUUAAGCAGGGCGAAGUCUGUGCGUGACAUCACAGCGGGAACAAUGGGCACAGCACUGCAUUGCUGCGCCGCGGCCGCGCAGUGCGCUCCGGGGCAGCCUCUAACGAGAUCAAGAUGGGCACGCAUCUGUGCUCCCAGAGAAGGCAGGGAACGCCAAGGAGCGGUCAGACGGCGAGUGGCACAGAACAGGAAGAAUGGAGCAUCUGGGGGAUUCUACACAUUCUGAUGCAAUCAGUCAUGCUGUGGAAUCUGCUAAGCGCAGUGAGCUCUCCAGCUGUGACAGCCUCCACCACCCCAGCACCCUCCACAACCCAGGAGAUCUGUGACAUCAUCUGAGACAACACCCUGUGUGCUCCCCGGCCAGGAAGGCUGCUGCUCCUCACUGGGGAUUCAGAAGAUGUCACUGGCAUUAUGUGGCACGUGGCUGCGACGCUCAUACUUGAUUUUAACCAUGAAAUUUCUGCUAAAGUAACCCUUUGUACGUGGAAUAAAGGACCC